AUAGGUGCAGUUUAGAGAGGAUGAACCAAUUUGGAAGAGUGACAAUUAAGCAAGAGAGGACUCCCUUCUGUUGUCAGUCAUUCUCGCAGUAUGUGCUGUGUAUGCAGCGCUGCUUUGCCCAGAUAUGCAAUGACAGUUGUCUAUUGUCUAAGAGGGAUGUGUCCAUCUGUUUAUGACUGGGCUGACUGGGGCUAAUCUCUGCAGGAGCCACUAAAGAAAACAGAAAGUGAUUGGAUUCUUCUGAGGACAAGAAAUUGGAGCACGUUUUAACACUUAGCCACUCCUCUAGUCAAACACUGUAAAGGAGCAGAUGCUGGAGGAGGACGGAGUCUGGCUGAGGCCACAUUUCUGGACAAAUUGUCACAAUAAAGCGUAGAGAUCCCAAUUACAGUGUUGUCUCACCCAGAGGGUUUUACCUGACAUUGGCAACUUUAGCUGAAGGCAAACUUUAAUCUGCGAAUUUUUGCCUUAUUUUUCUUGCAGCAAGUUGCAAAUGUCAGGUAA